CGAGUUCCCUUACGAUCACCGAAGUUAAGGAACAUCGAGCCGGGUCUGUACGUAGAUGGGUAACGACUUGUGAAAACCAGGUGCUGUA